rnacentral:rRNA from 1 species
UACGGGGGGAGCAAGCGUUGUUCGGAUUUACUGGGCGUAAAGGGCGCGUAGGCGGCCAGCACAAGUCAGUUGUGAAAUCUCCGAGCUUAACUCGGAAAGGUCAACUGAUACUGUGCGGCUAGAGUGCGGAAGGGGCAACUGGAAUUCUUGGUGUAGCGGUGAAAUGCGUAGAUAUCGGAAGGAACACCAGUGGCGAAAGCGGCUUCCUGGUCCAGCACCGACGUUCAGGCACGGAA